rnacentral:rRNA from 1 species
GCGAACGCUGGCGGCAGGCUUAACACAUGCAAGUCGAGCGGGCAUCCUUGUGGUGUCAGCGGCAGACGGGUGAGUAACGCGUGGGAACGUGCCCUUCGGUUCGGAAUAACUCAGGGAAACUUGAGCUAAUACCGGAUACGUGCGAGAGCAGAAAGGUUUAUCUGCCGAAGGAUCGGCCCGCGUCUGAUUAGCUAGUUGGUGAGGUUACGGCUCACCAAGGCGACGAUCAGUAGCUGGUCUGAGAGGAUGAUCAGCCACACUGGGACUGAGACACGGCCCAGACUCCUACGGGAGGCAGCAGUGGGGAAUAUUGGACAAUGGGGGCAACCCUGAUCCAGCCAUGCCGCGUGAGUGAUGACGGCCUUAGGGUUGUAAAGCUCUUUUCUCCGGGACGAUAAUGACGGUACCGGAGGAAUAAGCCCCGGCUAACUUCGUG